UGAACUCGCUUUGAAUUUUCUAUAAUUUGAAAUAUGUUCGCCACCAUCAUCAAAGUCACGUUUUGCGAAAGAAACGUGCGAAUGCUAGGGUAUUUGCGUGCACACGGCCUUGAAUUAGGGUUAGUAUCAUGAAUAUCAACAUUUCAUGCCAAAAAACGCGUUAUUUCAUGCACUCGCAGUUCAAACCUAUAUUUUUCAAGAAAUUUAAUGAAAUGAACAAAAAACCAUAAAAUAUAGCAAAUAAUGAUAAAAUUACACCAAACUUGAAUAUAUUGGAUAACUCAAACUAGGGAGCAUAAAGAAAAAAUUCGGUGGCUAAAAAACAAAAAAAAAUUAAGUUUGCCGAGAGCCCUUGAACCUGGCUCUCGGCAAAGAUCUUAUUUUGCCGAGAGCCUACAAUUGCUCUCGGCAAAGAAGGACGGCGUUACCCAGUCAGGGCCUUUGCCGAGAGCAAGGGUUAGGCUCUCGGCAAAGACACAGUAAUGCCG
rnacentral:lncRNA from 1 species